CUUAGAAGCAGCCAUCAUUUAAAGAAAGCGUAAUAGCUCACUGGUCGAGUCGGCCUGCGCGGAAGAUGUAACGGGGCUAAACCAUGCACCGAAGCUGCGGCAGCGACACUAUGUGUUGUUGGGUAGGGGAGCGUUCUGUAAGCCUGUGAAGGUGUACUGUGAGGUAUGCUGGAGGUAUCAGAAGUGCGAAUGCUGACAUAAGUAACGAUAAAGCGGGUGAAAAGCCCGCUCGCCGGAAGACCAAGGGUUCCUGUCCAACGUUAAUCGGGGCAGGGUGAGUCGACCCCUAAGGCGAGGCCGAAAGGCGUAGUCGAUGGGAAACAGGUUAAUAUUCCUGUACUUGGUGUUACUGCGAAGGGGGGACGGAGAAGGCUAUGUUGGCCGGGCGACGGUUGUCCCGGUUUAAGCGUGUAGGCUGGUUUUCCAGGCAAAUCCGGAAAAUCAAGGCUGAGGCGUGAUGACGAGGCACUACGGUGCUGAAGCAACAAAUGCCCUGCUUCCAGGAAAAGCCUCUAAGCAUCAGGUAACAUCAAAUCGUACCCCAAACCGACACAGGUGGUCAGGUAGAGAAUACCAAGGCGCUUGAGAGAACUCGGGUGAAGGAACUAGGCAAAAUGGUGCCGUAACUUCGGGAGAAGGCACGCUGAUAUGUAGGUGAAGCGACUUGCUCGUGGAGCUGAAAUCAGUCGAAGAUACCAGCUGGCUGCAACUGUUUAUUAAAAACACAGCACUGUGCAAACACGAAAGUGGACGUAUACGGUGUGACGCCUGCCCGGUGCCGGAA
rnacentral:rRNA from 1 species